GCAUCGGUGGUUCAGUGGUAGAAUGCUCGCCUGCCACGCGGGCGGCCAGGGUUCGAAAAUAGGCCGAUUCA